rnacentral:sRNA from 1 species
GUUGGGCAUGGUGGUGCAUGCCUGUAAUCCCAGUAACUUGGGAGGUGGAGGCAAGAGGCUUGAGAGUUCCAAGCCAGCCUCAGAAAUGGUGAGGCACUAAUUGAGACCCUGUCUCUA